rnacentral:rRNA from 1 species
UACGAAGGGGGCAAGCGUUGUUCGGAAUUACUGGGCGUAAAGGGCGCGUAGGCGGCGACUCAAGUUAGGUGUGAAAGUCCUGGGCUCAACCUGGGGACUGCACUUAAUACUGGGUUGCUUGAAUUCGGGAGAGGAUAGCGGAAUUCCCAGUGUAGAGGUGAAAUUCGUAGAUAUUGGGAAGAACACCGGUGGCGAAGGCGGCUAUCUGGACCGACAUUGACGCUGAGGCGCGAAAGCGUGGGGAGCAAACAGG